AGCCUUCUGAAUUCAUGUAGAGAUUCGUCGGACACCAGACCAUCAGUUCUGAUGAGACUUCCAAUAUAAGUGAAGUG
rnacentral:pre_miRNA from 1 species